CACGUAGGGGGCAAGCGUUGUCCGGAUUUAUUGGGCGUAAAGAGCUCGUAGGUGGUUCGGUAAGUCGGGUGUUAAACCCCCAGGCUCAACCUGGGGACGCCACUCGAUACUGCUGUGACUAGAGUCCGGUAGGGGAGCGUGGAAUUCCUGGUGUAGCGGUGAAAUGCGCAGAUAUCAGGAGGAACACCAGCGGCGAAGGCGGCGCUUUGGGCCGGUACUGACACUGAGGAGCGAAAGCGUGGGUAGCAAACAGG
rnacentral:rRNA from 1 species